GACGAACGCUGGCGGCGUGCCUAAUACAUGCAAGUCGAGCGAACAGACGAGGAGCUUGCUCCUCUGACGUUAGCGGCGGACGUGAGAGUAACACGUGGAUAACCUACCUAUAAGACUGGGAAAACUUCGGGAAACCGGAGCUAAUACCGGAGAAUAUAUUGAACCGCAUGGUUCAAUAGUGAAAGACGGUUGUUCUGGCACUUAUAGAUGGAUCCGCGCCGCUUUAGCUGGUUGGUAGGGUAACGGCUUAUGAAGGGGACGAUGCGUAGCCGACCGGAGGGGGUGAUAGGCCACACGGGAGGUGAGACAGGGACCAUGGUACUACGGGAGGGAGCAGUAGGCAAUGUUCCGCAACGGGCGAGAGCCUGACAGAGCAGCGGCAAGUGUGUGAUGGAGGUCUUCCGAUCGUAAAACUCUGUUAUUAGGGAAAAACAAAUUUGUAAGUAGAUAUGCACUUAUUGACGGUACCUAGUAAAAAAGCCACGGCUAACUACGUG
rnacentral:rRNA from 1 species